UACGAAGGGGGCUAGCGUUGUUCGGAAUUACUGGGCGUAAAGCGCGCGCAGGCGGCUAUCUAAGUCAGUGGUGAAAGCCCGGAGCUCAACUCCGGAACUGCCAUUGAAACUGUUUAGCUUGAGGACGAGAGAGGUGAGUGGAAUUCCCAGUGUAGAGGUGAAAUUCGUAGAUAUUGGGAAGAACACCGGUGGCGAAGGCGGCUCACUGGCUCGUUUCUGACGCUCAGGCGCGAUAGCGUGGGGAUCAAACAGG
rnacentral:rRNA from 1 species